rnacentral:rRNA from 1 species
ACUCAAAUGAAUUGACGGGGGCCCGCACAAGCGGUGGAGCAUGCGGUUUAAUUCGAUGCAACGCGAAGAACCUUACCUACUCUUGACAUCCUAGGGAUUUAGCAGAGAUGCUAAAGUGCCGCAAGGAGCCUAGAGACAGGUGCUGCAUGGCUGUCGUCAGCUCGUGUCGUGAGAUGUUGGGUUAAGUCCCGUAACGAGCGCAACCCCUAUCCUUAGUUACCAAUACGUAAAGGUAGGCACUCUAAGGAGACUGCCGGCGACAAGCCGGAGGAAGGUGGGGAUGAUGUCAAGUCAUCAUGGCCUUUACUGAGUAGGGCUACACGCGUGCUACAAUGGUUGGUACAAAGAGAAGCGAAGCCGCGAGGUGGAGCAAAUCUCACUAAAGCCAAUCACAGUCCGGAUUGGAGUCUGCAACUCGACUCCAUGAAGCUGGAAUCGCUAGUAAUCGUAGAUCAGAACGCUACGGUGAAUACGUUCCCGGGCCUUGUACACACCGCCCGU